rnacentral:rRNA from 1 species
AACGAACGCUGGCGGCAGGCUUAACACAUGCAAGUCGAACGCAUGCCUUCGGGCAUGAGUGGCAGACGGGUGAGUAACGCGUGGGAACCUACCCCUUGGUACGGGAUAGCUCCGGGAAACUGGAUAUAAUACCGUAUGUGUCCUGAGGGACAAAGAUUCAUCGCCAAGGGAUGGGCCCGCGUCGGAUUAGCUAGUUGGUGGGGUAACGGCCUACCAAGGCGACGAUCCGUAGCUGGUCUAAGAGGAUGAUCAGCCACAUUGGGACUGAGACACGGCCCAAACUCCUACGGGAGGCAGCAGUGGGGAAUAUUGGACAAUGGGCGCAAGCCUGAUCCAGCCAUGCCGCGUGAGUGAUGAAGGCCCUAGGGUUGUAAAGCUCUUUCACCGGUGACGAUAAUGACGGUAACCGGAGAAGAAGCCCCGGCUAACUUCGUG